GGGGCAUUACUGGUUUCGACAGGAUGACGAAAACUACCUUGUGAUUCAGGUCGAGAGUAAGUCACCUCUCGUUAAUACAUGGCUUAAAAACAAUAAGUGCAAACAACAUUGUAUCUUUCGCUCGUCCUCGUGUAGCAGUAGCUGCAUAGGAAACAACCUCUUUUAGGUUCCGAGCUUCUAUAGUUUGACUCCGUUAAGGACUGUAGAACUAACCCCCAACGGAUGUUCUAGUGAGGUGCUUCUGGUCGCCGAUCUAGCGAAAACUUUACCAGAAUCCCUUACUAUCUAGGGUUACAGAUAGUUCCCGCUCUGAGGGUUAAAAGAGCUACACCUGUGAAUGAGCAGGGAGCUAAUACUCGUUCUGGACAUGGGUUCGAUUCCCAUAUGCUCCAUAU
rnacentral:tmRNA from 1 species